CAAACGUCACGCCGCGAGCGCCGCGCGCACCCCGCCCGGCCCCGCCCACUCCGGCAUCGCCUCAGCAACCGCGGGGCAGCGGCGGGGCGGGGUUAAGUGGCAGGGCCGGCAGAUUAAAUUUCUCAUCUGCGGUGCUUUAUUUUCAGUGCACGCUUCUUGCAGCAGUAGCCGGAUGGGCAUUUCACACUCUGAAUUGCGCUGUGAGAGUUACUCACGGGCAGGCCGUGAAGCGUAGCACAAGCGUGAGAGUUGAAACAGAUCUGUCACCAGCAAAAGCUGUAAGUGGCAUGACAUUGGUAAAGAGAUAUGGAAAGACAACUGAACUGCUGCAGAUGUGAACUUCAAACAUGACAAGAUUUUUGACUGACAGAAAAGUGGAACAGAGGCAGAAUUCUCCAAGGUGCAGUGUCAGACUAACGAGCAACCUAAGCAAAAAUCUGCCUUUAAGAAGCAUCUCAAUAUGCUCUUCAAGAGGAGUCAGUUCAAAUCCUGGGGUGAUUUUCCUUGCUAUUUUAUUCACACCCCCCUGCCCUUUCUCAGAAUAACACCAGGAUCUAGGACACCAGCAGCUUCUAUUGUUCUGCAAGGUUGUCUCUCCCUCCUGUGACAAGAUGCAGAGUGGAAUACACUUUGAUGUGAAAUGCCUUGGGCUUUCAUCUUAUGAGCUCCCCUAAAAGAUCCAAAAACAUUCCAAG
rnacentral:lncRNA from 1 species